rnacentral:misc_RNA from 1 species
UCCGGCUUAUCACCGGCGGUUUCUUUAGAGUGCCCAACUAAAUGAUGGCAACUAAAGACGAGGGUUGCGCUCGUUGCGGGACUUAACCCAACAUCUCACGACACGAGCUGACGACGGCCAUGCAGCACCUGUGUUCUGGUUCUCUUUCGAGCACUUCCACAUCUCUGCCGAAUUCUUGACAUGUCAAGGGUAGGUAAGGUUUUUCGCGUUGCAUCGAAUUAAACCACAUCAUCCACCGCUUGUGCGGGUCCCCGUCAAUUCCUUUGAGUUUCACACUUGCGUGCGUACUCCCCAGGCGGGAUGCUAAAAGCGUUAGCGACGGCACCCAGAGACUGUAACUCCAGACACCAAGCAUCCAUCGUUUAAGGCUAGGACUAC